UCUCGAAUAGUAUAGUGGUCAGUAUUUCGGCUUGUCAAGCAAUGUCAAUUCGCCGGAGGCCGGGGUAAGUUCUACCACACACACACAAGUCCCACCUUGUUCAUGUGACUGACAAGCGUCCAGGUUCGAUUCCCCGUUCGAGAG